rnacentral:rRNA from 1 species
ACGGUAUCCAGUCCGGAACCCAGUACAGGUGCUGCAUGGCUGUCGUCAGCUCGUGUCGUGAGAUGUCGGGUUAAGUCCCGCAACGAGCGCAACCCUCGUUCCAUGUUGCCAGCAGCAUCCCUUCGGGGGUGGCUGGGGACUCAUGGGAGACUGCCGGGGUCAACUCGGAGGAAGGUGGGGAUGACGUCAAGUCAUCAUGCCCCUUAUGUCCAGGGCUUCACGCAUGCUACAAUGGCCGGUACAAAGGGCUGCGAUCCCGUGAGGGGGAGCGAAUCCCAAAAAGCCGGUCUCAGUUCGGAUUGGGGUCUGCAACUCGACCCCAUGAAGUCGGAGUCGCUAGUAAUCGCAGAUCAGCAACGCUGCGGUGAAUACGUUCCCGGGCCUUGUACACACCGCCCGUC